rnacentral:rRNA from 1 species
UUGGAGGGCAAGUCUGGUGCCAGCAGCCGCGGUAAUUCCAGCUCCAAUAGCGUAUAUUAAAGUUGUUGCAGUUAAAAAGCUCGUAGUUGAAUUUCGGAAUUUUUUUACCGGUUGAAUCAACAGGUUCUUACUGAUUUUAAGAAUUUCUACCUUCUGGAGAACCUUAAUGUCAUUUAUUUGAUGUUUUGGGAAACCAGGACUGUUACCUUGAAAAAAUUAGAGUGUUUAAAGCAGGCUUAUGUCUGAAUACAUUAGCAUGGAAUAAUGAAAUAGGACGGCAUGGUUCUAUUUUGUUGGUUUCCAGGAUCACCGUAAUGAUUAAUAGGGAUAGUUGGGGGCAUUAGUAUUCAAUUGUCAGAGGUGAAAUUCUUGGAUUUAUUGAAGACUAACUUCUGCGAAAGCAUUUGCCAAGGAUGUUUUCAUUAGUCAAGAACGAAAGUUAGGGGAUCGAAGACGAUCAGAUACCGUCGUAGUCUUAACCAUAAACUAUGCCGACUAGGAAUCGGACGAAGUUAAUUUUUUAAUGACUCGUUCGGCGCCUUACGGGAAAC